UGGGGAAUAUUGGACAAUGGGCGAAAGCCUGAUCCAGCCAUGCCGCGUGUGUAAAGAAGGUCUUCGGAUUGUAAAGCACUUUAAGUUGGGAGGAAGGGCAGUAAGCGAAUACCUUGCUGUUUUGACGUUACCGACAGAAUAAGCACCGGCUAACUCUGUGCCAGCAGCCGCGGUAAUACAGAGGGUGCAAGCGUUAAUCGGAAUUACUGGGCGUAAAGCGCGCGUAGGUGGUUCGUUAAGUUGAAUGUGAAAGCCCCGGGCUCAACCUGGGAACUGCAUCCAAAACUGGCGAGCUAGAGUAGGGCAGAGGGUGGUGGAAUUUCCUGUGUAGCGGUGAAAUGCGUAGAUAUAGGAAGGAACACCAGUGGCGAAGGCGACCACCUGGGCUCAUACUGACACUGAGGUGCGAAAGCGUGGGGAGCAAACAGG
rnacentral:rRNA from 1 species